GGGCAGUGACGAUAAUUGCGCUUUCUGAUGGGUUGGGUCCCAUCAUUCAUCUGAUUCCAUGAUGACAUUAGGCGCUCCUGAGCUC